GGAGGAUGAAAUGCAGAUACCUGACCUCCUGUGUACCUACCUUUCCCAAUACUAUGUGUUCACCACAGUACACAGUGUCUGGUCACCAGCUUUUGUGUUUGGGCCUGGCCUCCAUAUCCAGAGUGGACCUCAAUGCUAACCAUUCUGUCAGUCUUCAUCUCCCUCACCCACAGACCUUCUGCCAUUCCUACUAGCUACAAAGGACACUGGGAAACAGGAGCACACACAAGCCUGAUAGUUCUACCUUGUUGCUUUGGGUUUUUUUCCCUUCUUGUUUACAGGUACUGGUAAUCUACAGAGUAAGUCACAAAUUGUUCUCAGAGCUUUAUUUUUUUAAUUAUAGUUUUUUAAUAAUGAUUUUUAUUUUUUUCCAUUAUAGUUGGUUUACAUAUUUCUUCAAUUUCUGUUGUACAGCAAAGUGACCCAAUCACACACAGUUCCUGUGUUGUACAGAAGGGCCAAUUGCCCAUCCAUUCCAAAUACAACAAUUUGCAUCUGAAAAUUCCAAACUCCUGGUCCUUAUCCAGUCCAUCCCACUCCGUAAUUCUGCUCUCCCUUGACCUUGAUCUGUUUCUGUUUUGGAGAUAGAAAAACUGAUCCCAGAGCUUUAAAUGAAAUGUACGCAGCUCUUCUGCAACGAGCUGUCCUAGUUGCUUGACGGUUCCUCUGCCCUUUCUUUUUAGUUCCCCCUCACAUGCUGCUGAGUCCUAACUCUAAAGUGUCUCAACUUCAUGCAUAUUCUCUGAGCCUGGCAUUUAUCCUCUGAUUCUAGAGGUAUAUUGAGCCUGCUCCACUGUUGUGAGUGAAGGAAGCUUCUCUUGAGUGUUUCUCAGGAUCUUCACCCAUUUUUCUGCUCUUGUUUUGUAAUCUCAGGGAAAGAGGCAUCCUUCUGCUUUGUCACUGUUCUCCUCAAUCUCAUGUUCUCCUGCUACCCCUGGGAUCUUGCUUUUCUGGUCAUUUCUCAUAUAUAUUUUUUGCUUUUUAGGGCCAUAGAGGUAGCAAAUGGAAGUUCCCAGGCUAGAGGUCUAACUGGAGAUACAGCUGCCAGCCUAUGCUACAGCCAUAGCAAUGAGCCGCGUCUAUAGCCUACGCCACAGCUCACAGCAAUGCAGAUCCCUGAUCCACUAAGCAAGGCCAGGAUCAAACCCCCAUCCUCAUGGAUACUAGUUGAAUUUGUUUCCUCUGUGCUACAAUGGGGACUUCCUAUUUAAAAUAUAUAUUAGGGCCACAGAUGUGGCAUAUGGAAGUUCCCAGGCUAGGGGUAAAAUUAGAGCUACAGCUGCUGGUCUACCCCACAGCCCACAGCAAUACCAGAUCCAAGCCCCGUCUGUGACCUACACUGCAGCUUGUGGCAGUGCCGAUCCUUAACCCACUGAGCAGGGCCAGGAAUUGAACCCACAUCCUCAUGGAUACUAGUCAGGUUCAUCACUGCUGAACCACAAUGGGACUGCCUAUAUUUUAUUUCAAUUCGUUUUCCAGAGACAUGAUUGCACACCUCCCUCCAUUUGACAAAUACUCAAGUUGCCAUUAACUAAAAACAAACACACAAACUGAAAAAACAAGUAGUCAAGAUAAUAAGCAACUCCCGCCCCAGAACUCCUUGACCCUGAUACUACUUCUCCAUCUUUCUUUUCUUUUCUUUCUUUCUUUCUUUCUUUCUUUCUUUCUUUCUUUCUUUCUUUCUUUCUUUCUUUCUUUCUUUCUUUCUUUCUUUCUUUCUUUCUUUCUUUCUUUCUUUCUUUCUUUCUUUCUUUCUUUUUGCUUUUUAGGGCCUUAAGGGUGGCAUAUAGAAGUUCCCAGGCUAGGGGUCAAAUUGGAGCUAUAACUGCUGGCCUACAGCACAGCCACAGCAAUUCAGGAUCCAAGCCGCAUCUGUGACCUACACCACAGCUCACAGCAAUGCUGGAUCCUUAACCCACCACUGAGCGAGGCCAGGGAUCCAACCUGCAUCCUUGUGGGUGCUAGUUGGGUUUGUAACCCACUGAGCCACAACAGGAACUCCUCUCCACCUUUCUUUGCUGACAAACAUCUUAGUCUGCCCCUGCCACCUCUUUGGAACCCACACACUUCUAGGAAUAUGAACUCAGUAUUAUGCUCAAAGUGUUCUCUUCUUGUCAUCAAGAGCUCAGGGUCUGUAACUCAAAAGAACUCAUCUCAGUUCUUAACCUCUCUACUCUCUCUGCAAUAUGGGGCAUCUUGGCUAGCCACACUGGGAUGGACUGAGUGUGUCCUUCCAAAAUUCAAAUGUUGAAGCCCUAAUCCCCAGUGUGAUGGUAUUUAGACUUAGAUUUUUGGGAGUAAUUAGGUCAUGAGGCUGGAGCCUUCUUGAAUGAGAUUAGUGCCCUUAUAAGAGACUUUCAUAGAGAUCAUCUAUGAAAAGACUUUCAUCUUUUCAUAGAUGAUCUUUCCUUCCACUGUAUAGGAAUACAGCGAGAAGGCAGCCACUUACAAACUAGGGAGAGAGCCCUCACCAAGAACCCAACCAUACCAACACCCUGAUCUUAGACUUCCAGCCUUUAGAACUGUGAGAAAGAAUUGUUUGUUGUUUACUCCAGCUAGUCUAUAGUCUAUAGUAUUCUGUUGUAGCAGCCCAAACAGCCUAAGGCACAUACCUUAAAAUUUCAGUUGAACUUUGUGAUGCUGAGUGCUUCUCUGUUCCUCUGAUUCUUUAUUACUACUAUAAAGACUUGCCCUUUGGUUCUCUUCCUUAUUUCUAAAUGAAGAUUCUCCUUCUUCUUAGUUCUUUCAUUGAACUCCUUGGCUGUAGUCUUUCUGUAAGUGAUUUUAUAUAGUCACAAGAAUUAAAAUAGCACCUUUUAAAGAAUACCGCCAAACCAUGUAUCACUGCAGUGACCUGUCUUGGAUGUGCAUUUUCAAUUGUUUGAUGCAUAUUUUCACCUAAAAGAUGACACAUUGAUUCAAACUUAAACUCAGCAUGAUCGAAACCGAACUCACUUUUUUCUUCUUGUUACUACUUUAGUUCAUUCUUUCAUCACUAGUUAUGAAGAAUACAAUACAUUCCUAACUGAUGCUCUAAUGUUUGGAUAUUCUGUUCAUAAUUUAUAUAUGCGUGGAUAAAUUUAGUAAUGAGAGAUUAUUUUUCAAACUUUGGCCUUGUUUAAAAACAUUCAGUAGCAACUAUUGCCUACUGAAUUAUACCUAGUCAGAAGCUUGCCUUUAAGAUGCUUUACAAUAUGUAUAUGCCAUUUUCAGACUUAUUCUUCUAAAACACUCUACAAAUUCCCUGUGCCACAUAUAAAACUGACAACUCAUGGUUCCAUGGAUGUGCUUUGUCCAUUCUUGUUUCCAUUUCAAUAGACUGACAUGAAAAAAUGGUUAAUAAAUAAUAGAUUACUUUUAAAAUGGAUACUGGUGGAUUCAUCCUGGGUUGAAUCCAUUAACUGACAGAUGAUGUCUUUCUCUAAACUGUCUCUGAAUGUAGCUAAGAAAAAAAUUGAGUGGAGAGGUAUAUAUCUGUUAUAACUUGUUUGUCUUUGAUCAUUGCCAGAUUUUUAUAGUGUAUGUCUUCUCUCCCAAAGAAUGCUGACUGUAAGUUCCUUGUGGACAUGACAUGACUUAUUCUUCUUUAUAUCUUCUAAAAUAUGAAGAACACAUAAUAAAUAUUUCACAUGUAUUUGUUGAAAGGACAUAUGGGUGGUUAAAAAAUGGAUACUGUGCAUUUUGUCCUUUGAGAUAACUUAUCUAUUAUUUAUCAUACAAGCCUGGUUUACCAUUCCAAAUGAAAGCUUUAUGGUAAACAUCUGAAGUCCUAAACAAAUGGAAAUUAAGCUGCUCACAAAUUUAUCUGGUGAUUACAAGUCACUUUGUGAUGCUUUUCCCAUUUUAUCUUCCAGCUUAAUUUUGCUGGAAAGCAUACCUCAUGAAUGGCUCUAGCAAGUUGUGAUGCCAGCUGGGGGAAUUUUGCCGUUUAUAGCACGAGCCAUUUCACAGAUUUUUCAGGGAUUUUUGAGACUGGUGAUACUGCAAAGAUAAUGCGCAUUCUCUAUGUCAAAAGAUGUGAAUUAAUGAGGUGAAGGAAACAUUUAUCUAUUGCAAAUGACCAGGGAAGUUUUGCCAAAUUUCCUCAAGUUGUCUCUUUUCUCUUGGCAUUCACUUGGAAGGAGUAUAUCCUGGUAAUGGGAAUCACAUGUGAUUAAAGAGACCUUCAUGAACUGAUGCAGACCUUCACACGGCUAUAGUCAGGGGUUUGGAGGAUACUGGAAGUUGACUUAAUCUUUGAGACAAAUCUAGAAUAUAUAGGAAAAUGUGAUCAAUGAAAAAUGUGCAACCUCUGUAUGUCCAACGCAAAGUCAUAUGGUAUGUGUGUGUGUGUGUGUGUGGUUAUCCCUAUGUGAAGUGGUAAUUAAUAUGCUGAAAAUAAAAACCGUUCUAGAGAAAAGUCCUAAAAGCUGACAAAGGCUGUUACCUUUAAAGUAAAAUUCCUGGAUAAUUGAGGAUGUAGACCAUCACUUUGGGAGCUUCUCUUUAUCCUCUGAGUAAGAAAGAAGAGCGUUUCAGGGAUUUGUGCUCUCUAGAUGCUGUGUAUCCACUUAACUAAAAAAUAGACUCUACUUGGGGUCUACAUAAAGAUUUUCUUAUACUUACUCUGCCUUCAACUCUACACAUUUAUGGCAAAGUGGAAAUACUUUUUGCUCUUAUUUCCUAGGCUAAACAGUCCCUUAUCUGGUUCAACAGAUUGACCUCUGGCCUAAAGGGCAAGUGAGACUCUUCAGAUAGUUUUGUCUUGUGGUCUGUUGGAUGCCAUUACUCCCAGGUAGCUAGAGCACAUUCUUUCAUUCUCUUUGGGCCUUGAUUUUGCUCUUUAAAAUUAACUAAUUAAUUAAUUUUCUUUUUAUAGCUGCACCUGCAGCAUAUGGAAGUUCCUGAAUCAGGGAUUGAAUCAGAGCUACAGCUGUGGCCUGCACCACAGCAGCCCUGGAUCUUAGCUGCAUCUGUUGCAGCAACGCUGAAUCCUUAACUCAUUGAGUGAGGCCAGGAGUUGAACCCGCAUCCUUACAGAGACUAUGCCAGGUCCUUAACCUGCUGAGCCACGAGGGAAACUCCUUGAUUUUGCUUUUAUCUGCCUUUUUUGUUCUGUGUCAGAUCUUCCCUCAUCCCACUCUUUACUAUUCCUAUUCUUUCUUCUGCUUCCUUUGUUUUCAUCUGUACAAAUUUGAGAUGCCUAGAAGUUAAUGUGGCUUGUUAAAUAUUCUCUGCACAGAGCCUGGAGAAAAGUGCUGUAUAUAUCAGGUAUAUAAUGAUAAGGAAUCAAAUUCUGCUCUGUACUUUUGCCUCUUUCUGGUAGUAAGUUAUGUAAUAAUGUUAUAAAUGAUCAAUUGGCAGCCUGGUGGGGUGAAUGUACUUCUCUGAGUGCCUCGUGAACACCCUGGGAAUGGCUUAGGUAUGAGGAAGAAUAUAAACUAAUAAUACAUGCCAGCUCUGAUUCCUUUGAGAAUUCAUGUCCUGAGAAAUUUCAAUGGAACAAUCUAAUUUUUUCAUCCACAAUAGUGUUUGAUUUGCAUUCAAGGAGGGAUAUUUUCCUGUCUGGCUACUUAGGGAUGGAGUUCAGAGUCAGAAAACAUUUUAUAUCCUUAGGUUUUCUUCAUUGCCUAUUAACAGUGAAUACUCACUAAGUUCAUGGCACUGCUUGGAAGGAGAGCUGAGUUAAGAUCAAAACCAGGCUGGCUGGUGCCUUUGAGAGCCACUACAGCCACAAACACUGCAAGUGUCCCUUGCCGGGAACCCAGCUAAGGAAGGACUCCUCUGAGAUAGCUACUAUCCUGAUCUGCCAAAUUGCAUGUACAAAAAAGAAAAGCUUAUUACCUGUCGUUGGAGAAUGACAACUAGAUAUGAUAGCAUUGAUAAUACCAAAUCCCAAAGAGAUGGACAGUACACUUUUUUUUCCUGUAAAUUGUUUAUAAUUUUAUUGAAACAUAUUAUGCUCACUUAAAAACAAUGUCAUAGUCCUAACAAAUCUAAGAGAAUAAACACCUUAUAAAGACUAAGGAAAGUAGGAUCUUCAUGGACUACAACUAUCAGAGGAAAACCUCAUGGAGAUGGUUGAAG
rnacentral:lncRNA from 9 species